GACAGAGGAUGCAAGCGUUAUCCGGAAUGAUUGGGCGUAAGCGUCUGUAGGUGGCUUUUAAGUCCGCCGUCAAAUCCCAGGGCUCAACCCUGGACAGGCGGUGGAAACUACCAAGCUGGAGUACGGUAGGGGCAGAGGGAAUUUCCGGUGGAGCGGUGAAAUGCGCAGAUAUCAGGAGGAACACCGGUGGCGAAGGCGGGUCUCUGGGCAACAACUGACGCUGAGGCGCGAAAGCUGGGGGAGCGAACGGG
rnacentral:rRNA from 1 species